AAGAAAUGUUUUGUUAUAAACCACUAAUAAUUUGCUGCAUGCAAAAAUACGAAAAACGAAAAAAAAUUGUUGAAAAAUAGUUGAAAAAUAUUUCCCAGCCAGUUUUUAACAGAAUAUUCCACAAUAUUUCAGCUGAAAACAAGAAAUUUUUAGGUAAUUUUCUGAAAAAAAUAUUCUAGCAGUCAACUGCUAGAAUUUUUUCGGCCAUUUAACCAACAAAAAUGGCAAUUCCAACUAUUUUUUUGUUAACUUUAGUUACUGGUGGUCAGCAAUUUCGGGUUAACAAAAUCAACAAUCGAUUGUUGAAAAAAAGCUGUGUAAAAAAUUAGCCCAUACUUUUAGUUAAAUUAACCAAGAUUUUCUUAGAUUUGCCCCGGCCGGUCUCUCCGUGUGCUACAAAUUGGUGGUUUUGUGCGUCCUGGAAGAUAUAAAUUUAUCAAUCAAUUAUUGCAAACAGUUUAUUCUGCUGUAUACUUACAAAAAUAGAAAAAAAUCCUUACAACUGCAAUUUUACAGAGCUCGGUUUUUAUCGCCAUGUUGAUUUUGGUGUGUUUUCUUUUCGAGUAAGUAGAGUGAGCGAGAGUUUUGUGACAUUUUGUUGUUGUUCUCGCUCGCUCUCUUUCACUCUCACUCGAACCGAUAACCGUGCUGCCAGUUUUUUGAAAAAAAUCAUAACAGUGUUGCUGGUGACUGCUGGAAAUCAGCUCUAUUUUAGCUGUUGUCCGUGCAGUUUUUUUUAGAGCUGUUUUGCUUUCAUCUUAGCUGUUUUAUGACAGAUUUGCUGGGGUAUGCUGUUUUGCAGCUUAUUUAUGAUUUUUUUUAGUGUUGGAUGGUUACUUGGGUGAAUAUGAACAAAAACGAAACAGAAUCAGGUGGGAUUCGAACUCACACCUUUGGAUUGAUGAUCUGGGACUCUAACCAGUCGGCCACCUACAGGUUAUAAAAUAUGUUGUAUUCUUCUCAUAUUAUAUACGAUCUGAUCCCUGAUUUGCCUGAAGGGAUUGGGAGUCUUAAGAUAGAUCAAGGAUCCGUCUGGUGCUUGCUUCUAUGUUGAGGCGGGGCCGGACAAUGCCCAACGACCUCAGAAUUGGACCGCUAGGAUCUCUGCCAUUCUGAAAUUGGUCGCUGGAAGCAGCGCGAGGGCUAUCACCACCUAAUACCCGGGACUGAGAUAAGUUGUAUCAGCAUUUCGGCAUAUGGGUCAUACCAUCUCAACUGUGCACGAAAAAGUGCAAAUUUGAAAAUUACCCUCUCCGAUCCUGCUCAAAUUUGGCAGGGCUGUUGAUACCACACUCAAAAAAAUCCACACGUAGAUGCUACGUGAAAAAUCACGUAACCCCAAUUUUCCCCUCCAUAGGUCUGUUUUACGUGACACACGUAAAAAUAAUGUGAAUGUGUACCGGCAAAAAAAAAAUACUUCACGUUGAUGCUACGUGAAAAACCCUAUAGUAUUUUUCCACUAGGUUUAUUCAUGUAGCUUUGAUGUGUUUUGAAAUGUAACUCCAACGAACCCACUCGAGUGCGCCAAAUUUCUACGUGAUUAUUUUAGUAUGAAAAUUGACGGCGUACGGUGAAGACCUCCUGCCGGACUGUUCCAGUAAAUUUUCUUUAAAAAUGUAAAAGUUGAAACCGGUAGAACAAUUUCCUUUCCCUGUGGCCUCUGGAAUUCGGUCCGGUGCCAACAUUAUCGACCUGAAGGACUCCUAAAAGGCAACCCCGGUUUCUUCAGAAGGAAUGGCCAUCAAGGUCUGUGCUACCGUGGUGACACCACCGGAACUGCCACGGACGUGGUAUCGCCGAGUGUGUCGUCUUAAAUCUGAUAAUCUACACCGGGUGCUUUGCGGUCACCUUCAUGCCGGCCAUGACAAGUUUGAUGCCCUCGCGUGUGACGCUAAAGAGCAGGAGCAGCAGUUAAACGUAGUCCACAAGGCCAAGGACUCCACCAAUCGUAGAUCAACGGUGAGAAGGCCAAGGUCAAGCCCAUCGUCGUGGUAUUUCUUGUUUGGAAGCAUAAUAUAAGAAGUGAUCUGUGUUGCAUCGGUGAGAUUGUUCAGAAAUAAAUGAUGUUUUGAUAAAUAUAAUAAGUUUGAAUAACAUAAUUUAAAACAGAAGUGUACUUUCUUUUUAUUUAUAUUCGAAAAAAGAAUGAAAUAACCUCGGAAAUAACCUUCUAAAACUAAAACAAAUCAUAUAACGUUUACUACAACAAACAUGUACAAAUCAUAGGUUGAUUCAUUUAGCUUUUACGUGUGAAACACGUAGAAACAACGUGAAAUGAUCUGGCCAAACAAAUUUCAUUUCUACUAGCGUCACCUCGUAGAAGUUACGUGAAAACUCUAGUGGAAAAAUACCACAUAGCUUUUCACGUAACUUCAAUGUGAAUAUUUUUUUGAGUG